CGGCUGUUGUCCACGACAAUUGUCCCCAUGGUACUGUAGUGCUGUGCCCGCUAAGAGGCUUGGUUUGGAACUCAACUUGGGCCCCCCACUUGCUCUGGGUUCUUGAGAAAGUCAGUUAUUCUGAGUUUUCUCAUCUUAAAAUAGGACUAAAUAACAUUUUCUUUAUUAUUUUUAAUAUCCCCAAACCAGGGGCUUUGCAAAACCACACCUGUACAUCUUACGUCGCCUUCCCUCCCCGUCGGGCUCUCUGCUGUUUUUGUUCUUCUCUUAACCUACCAACACGCUGUCACACCCGAGUCACGAGGGGUCACGAGGGGUCGCACGGUCCAGAGCUCACAGCUCACUCAGGAGGAAAGGCGAGGCCUCACCUGAGCCUUCGCAAUCCUCCCUAAUCUCGAAGACCCUCCUCCCGCCACCGCCACCGCCAGCCUGGCUCACUCCAGUUUGGUUCCAUGUUCUUUGUUCCCAUCCAGGGGGCCAUGCAUUUGCUGUUCUUUCACUCGGAAUGGUGGUUCCUCACUCCCUGCCCCCACUCCUUCUCACAAACCCAUCUUAGCAGCCAGAGAGAUCUUCACACGGGCGUGCGGGGUCCUCCCCUCCCCUUUCAUGCUUGAUUUGGCUUUGUAGGGCAGCAUUUAAUGCCAGGCUCCUUGUUAUCUGUCUUCCCUUUGAGGCAAGGCCCAUGAGCUGCUUCUGUUUGUUUGUUUCUGUUUUGCUUUAUCCCACAGACGACUCCUAAGCAACCCAAAGAGGGCCUGGUGCAUGCACAGGGUCCAUAAAAACUUGGUGAGUGAGUUAUUUCCAUGAUCAGGGACAGUGCAUCAGGAAGCAGGAAGAAAAGACAGGGCAUUUAAUUAUUCAUGUCAAAGCCAAGUGCCCUAUACCAGUAGGAAAGAUGAUAUUUACAGAAAAAAAAAAUUCUUUCUUUCCACUGUGCAGAAACUGCCAGGAGUUCGCCAAGAGGCAGAUGUCAGACUCGGAGUUUCAACCCCCAAAAGGCAGCUGUGGAAUCCUUGUCCCAGAGCUUCCUGACCAGGAGCGCAGACUUCAGAUGGGCAAGCCGAGAUAAGAAGACCGAGGACCCAAGUGGAGAUGUGACCUUUGCUGCUGCCUGCUCCGCUGGGUAUCUGAGGGUCCUCAGUACUGCAGGAAGAAUGCAUAAGCAACAACAAUAGCUCAGAAUAGCAACGAAGACCUUAGAGCUGCUCUGGAAAGCAGGGUGUGUCCCAUCAUCAGAGGACCAGAAACUCUGAAGAGCACACGCACACUGGUAACCUCAGAGAUGUGUUCUCCAUCUCCCUAGUGCCCAAGGAGGGUCUGGCAUGGGAUACUGUUCAACAAACACAUGGAUGAAUGGAUGAUUAAUGGCUAAAUGAGCUCCUAAGAACCAAGGACGUAGAGCUCUAACUCUGUUUAAUGCAACCGGGCUCUGGAAACAUACAGGGGUAAGCACGUUCGAGAGGACUGCCCCUGAAGAGCAGCCUGCUCCUUGCUUGGGUCUCCCAUGACAUACACCGUCAUGGAGCUUCCUGUUGGACGCUCAGCGCCACUGGCUGGUUCACCCUCUAGUGUGGGCUGCAAGUGCUGUGAUGGUGAGGAGCAAGCAGGAGCUCAGGGAUAGAGAGAGCACAUGGUUUGGCCGUUCUUAGUUACUUUGUUACUACGGCACUACAGUGUUACCCUAAGGUUUGCCUUCCUUCUGCCUGGAACUCAUCUGCUCUGGCUGCUUAGUCAAGUUCAGUUGAGGCCAGACCUCAUCUCUCCAUUUCCCUGGCAAAAGGUCUCAAUUCUUUGUUCGUUCCUUUAAUAGUACGCAUGGGAUUUUGUCUGUGCCAGAGGCCAAGUGCAGAACUAGGCACAGAGCACUGACCCGCACAGUACUGCAGAAGGCAGAGAGGAGAGGGAACUGUUGCGGUCUGACCCAGGCAUGGCGGCUUCCUGGUGGAAGAAGAGGUUGGUCUAAGGAGGAACUAGAUAAAGAGAAGAAGGGAGGGGAUUUGAAGGAGAAAAUCAAUUAGGUAUUGUAACAUCUUAAUACGCUACAUUGUUAGUGUAGCUUUUAUAUAUAAAGAAUUUACCUCUUCCCACUUCUUAGUUGUGUCUGUAGGAAGCAACUGGCCCUGUGCUAUCUGGUGCACCUAUGCACAGCCCCGGUGUGCCUUGCUCAGGGUCUGGAGGCAGAAAAGUCUUCACCCUCCCUGUAAGGUCUGAGCCAAUGGCAUUGCCCGUCUCUCUUGCCACGGUAAUACUUCCUCAAAACGGAAAAUGGUAUUGAUCUAGCCUGCUGAUGUUGUGAAGAAAAUUGUAUUUAAAAAGGAAUGGGGUUGGGGGGAAACAGUUCAGAGAACGAGGAGCGGCUAGAAGAGGCCUGACAAUGGGUUGGCUCAGACACCGAGAACAAUGCAUGGAAACAGAAAAUCACAUGACCAGGCUUUAAAGAUUUUCUUCCUUCUGCGUUUACAAUACUCUAUUAUUGACUUUAGACUUUUCCCCCUUGCACUUAAUUAGUCAAAAGCCAGCCUAACACUCCUAGUUUCACAGCUCAGACACCGAAGUUCGAAGUUCGUAUUCCUAAGCAAGAGCUGUGGACCUCCUUCAUUUGAUAAUUUCUUUCUGCUUUGGGCUUGCCCAGCCUGUGCUACAUUUAUUUGUCCUCCCUAGAUGGAAGGCAUUUGUCCCUGGGGAUUCUCCUACCUUUGUCUGACUUCCUGGGGCCUCACUUCUUGAGGAAUUUUGGGAGACUCUUUUUUUUAAAGGUAAUUCAGGGUCAUAAAAGAAAGGUCAAAACUGGCCCUGACCUCAGCUGCCCCUGUGAGAGGCAGCCAUAUGCUGACUGGGGUUCUUCUUCCUCCCCUCAGGGUUCAGGAUGGCGUAGAAGCUUGGCCUGGCUCCUGAAAGUCUGUUUUGAUUUCUAUAACAUAGAGUAUUCUGUGUUCAGUUUGAGUUUCCCUAGAAGUAGGCCCGGUGGCAAAGGUUCAGCUAGGAAUAAUUUCCUUGGGCGGAGCGGGGAACAGCAGCAGGGGAGAAGGAAUAUGGGCAGGGAAGGUGUGAGUCACCAGCUGCCUUAAUGCCACCAUGGCCAAGUCUGGAACUUGGUGCUGGAUGUGGGUCUGCACUUGUAAGCUGCUUUUGCUCAAAGCACUGACUCCUUUUUUGAGCCCACAGUAAUUAAAGGAAGAAGCCUGGUAUCUCUGCUUUCAUUUAGUUUGCUUCCUUUCCGUGGGGUCAAAUGCCUGCUUGACUCUGUAGACGUUUAAGUCAACCGUUCAAGGAGUGUUCAUUUAACUUAUCCCAUCUCCUGUCAGGGUGGAAAAUACAAAGAUGGCUCCCUGUUCCACGAAUUCCAGAAAUAGCAGAGUCUCUCAGGACAGACCACCCCUAAAUGAGAGAGUAUUUAUCCAUGAUGGAAAGGCUGUGCCCUGGGAUGGCAGUCUUCUGCCCCCGAGAUCCAGCUUGUCCCUUUAAAGAAUUCUUUGGACCACCCUUCGAACCAGAGAACUGAAACUGACCCCAUGGUCAAUGAGACCUGACUUCAUGAUUAUACAAACCUCUUGGACCUGGCUCAAUUCUUUGAUUUAAACCCAAAGCUCAUAUCAGAGCCCAGACAAGCUUGGGGUCACUGGACCCUUUUAUUCCUCUUCUCAAUGUGUUGAUUAAAUCUCCUUUCUCUUCUUUUCACCAAUACUUGUCUCUAAAUUGACUUAUUGGGAUGGUGGCCAAAGCUUUCCUUUUGGACCUGCUGUACCCAAGGCCUUAAAAUUCGGGAUACAUAGUCUCCUAAUUAGUCCAGCAAAGGGCUGAGUACACUUGGGUGUUUAGAAAGUGAUUCCUGUCAGUCAUUGGUUGAAGUCUACGAGUUUGUUCAUUUAAAGAAGAUAGCACCCCAUUGCUUCCUCCCCCUCCAAAGCCCAUAACAAUAUAGGUAUUGCAGUUAGAGGUCACCCAUGGUCUCAGGAGCACAUGGGAACACAGUGACCCAGAAGAUGUACAAGGGCGGAAGAACACCUGUUAUACUUUCUAUGAAAAUAUUUGUAACUUCUUACUUGAGGGUGCCAGCUGGGGGAAUACUUUGGGGAAGCAGUAGCAGCCUUUGUCUAGGACCUGCCUCUUGCAGCCACUGGGAAGGCAGGGCUGCUCUAAAAUGGCCCACACUGCACAGCUAUGAAUGCAGGGCUUUUAUAAUCUGAUCACAAAGCUCUGCCAGAGGUCAGAGGACGGCACAGAACAGUCCUGUACUCUUCAUCAGGUUAGACCCUCCCUAGACCCUUACGGGGGAGGGAUGCUUGGCCCUUUCAGCCAUCGUGCUGAAGGAUGUAGACUUGAGGGUGUGUCGCAGUUCAGCCUAAUGAAAGCUGAGAGGAAGUGGGAAGUAGAAGAUUGGGGAUUGGGAAUCUGGAACAAGCUCCUCUCCUCAUGAGGAAAGCACCUUGUGAGGACAACCUUCCUUUUGCUAGGGAUCCUGGGGUCUGCUUCGAAGCCUGAGCCUCUAUGUUCACUUCUUCAUCAUGGGGGUAACCUUAGAUGGCUUGUGUUCCUGUGCCUGAUUUAUCACCUCCGAAGGACCUCACACUUCUUUUUUCCUUUUAAGACGCUUCCAGCUGCAUUUCUUCUCUAGAUUCAUUUUAGUUCUUAAUCAUACAUAUGUGUUUUGCAGCCAUGUCUGCAGGUCUCUGAGGAGGCUAGAAGAAGGCAUCAGAUACCCUGGAGUUGCAGGUGGUUCUGAGCUGCCCCAUGUGGGUGCUGGGAUCUGAAUUCAGGUUCUCUACAAAACCUGUAUGCAACCUGCUAAGCCAUCUCUCUGGCCCCUAGCUGGAUUUCUUUAAGUUUAAGAUGCUUUAAUAUUCCUUAUAAUUUAUAGAUCCUAAAUGAUACAAUGUCAGCUAACUUAGCUGAUUGGUGACAAAAGCCAUUACUUUAUAUCAAACAACCAAGGGUAGGGCAGAGUGCGUUUUACUGGGAGGUGAUUCCCAGAUGUCAUGCUUAACGCCCUUGUCACCGGGAGCUGCUAUAACAUAACAUCAUAGGCAGGUAGUUAAACAAUGAUUUGCCUUUUCAUAGUGCUGAAGUCUGGAAGCCUAAGAUCAAGGUGCUAGCAGGAUUUGCUCUGGUGAGACCUACCUUUGUGACCUCCCUGUGUCCUGGCAUGGCCUUCCCUGUGUGCACAAGGUCCUGGCAUAGACUUCUGUAUAAGGAAAUGUGACAGUUGCUUCAAGGAAAAGCACAUGUGUGACUAAUGAGAUGGAGACAGCUGUAACAUAUACAAUCCUUUAAUAUUACACAAUAAAAGGUUGAAUGUGUGCUUUCCAAAUAA
rnacentral:sRNA from 1 species